rnacentral:tRNA from 1 species
AGGCCAGUAGCUCAAUUGGCAGAGCGACGGUCUCCAAAACCGUAGGUUGCGGGUUCGAUCCCUGUCUCCCCUGCCA